rnacentral:rRNA from 1 species
UUUGGGAAGUAAAAAAUCGUAACAAGGUCUCCGUAGGUGAACCUGCGGAGGGAUCAUUACACAAAUAUGAAGGCGGGCUGGAACCUCUCGGGGUUACAGCCUUGCUGAAUUAUUCACCCUUGUCUUUUGCGUACUUCUUGUUUCCUUGGUGGGUUCCCCACCACUAGGACAAACAUAAACCUUUUGUAAUUGCAAUCAGCGUCAGUAACAAAUUAAUAAUUACAACUUUCAACAACGGAUCUCUUGGUUCUGGCAUCGAUGAAGAACGCAGCGAAAUGCGAUAAGUAGUGUGAAUUGCAGAAUUCAGUGAAUCAUCGAAUCUUUGAACCACAUUGCGCCCUUUGGUAUUCCAAAGGGCAUGCCUGUUCGAGCGUCAUUUGUACCCUCAAGCUUUGCUUGGUGUUGGGCGUCUUGUCUCUAGCUUUGCUGGAGACUCGCCUUAAAGUAAUUGGCAGCCGGCCUACUGGUUUCGGAGCGCAGCACAAGUCGCACUCUCUAUCAGCAAAGGUCUAGCAUCCAUUAAGCCUUUUUUCAACUUUGACCUCGGAUCAGGUAGGAACCCCCAC